UGGAAACGGCGAGACCCCGGUGCAGCUGUAUCUCUGGAAGUGGGGUCUGCAGUGCUGAUGGUGUCGGUUAGAGUGCUUGGAGUCCUCGGCAAGUGCUAGGAGCAUCGAUUGGUGGAGGUACUCAGUCGGAGUGCCAGCGUUCCGUCACAUUUGGUGACAGCGGCGGAAUGGCAUCCUAGUGCGAGGACCAGCAGCUCGGAGACACCGGUAACGUGUGGCGUUACGGAUUUAUAAUUGAGGGCAACGCUAGCCUCUACGCAGCGUCCCUAUCCACAGCAACAUGGAAGAGGAGUUUCGCUGGAGGUUGCAGCAGCACUUGGCCCAACAGGACGGGCUUGUAUCAGAGGAGUGCAUACUGGACUGGAGAGAUGUCACUCGUACGGAGAUGUGGUACGAUGCCCUGGAAAAGGUACAGCGGCGUCGGGGAGAGAGCCUUCCCAGUGACGAGCAGCGGUUCAAGGUACUCGUGGCCCUGCGCUCCCCUUUCCUAGGGGAGCAACCCUUGGAUGAAUGGUUGUUGGAACUCUGGGAUUUAAUUUGGAAGGAGUUGUGGCUAGAUGCAGCUUACCGGGCAUUAAAGUGGUACGCCACCCCUGGAUGACUAACCACUAUCUGCCCGAGGGAGAGGAUUAUAAUGGCCCGGGCUUACUGUGGGAGGCCUUUGAGGAGGGCGAUGACUUUGGAUGCCCCACGGAGUUUCGGUUCUGGGACAUCCACAAUAUCAGGGAAACCCUGCUGGAUCUUCCCCGAGCGGACGACCUGGGGCCAGACCUGAUUCAUCUGGUC